rnacentral:rRNA from 1 species
CCGCGAGGACAGGGGAGGAAAGAUGGCCUCUGACAUAAGCUAUCGUAUAAGGAUGAUGCGUACCAUUAGCUAGUAGGUGGGGUAACGGCCCACCUAGGCGACGGUUAGCGGGUCUGAGAGGAUGAUCCGCCACACUGGAACUGGAACACCCAGACUCCCACGGGAGGCAGCAGUGAGGAAUUUUGCGCAAUGGGGGCCCUGACGCAGYGACGCCGCGUGGGUGAUGAAGGCUUUCCAGUCGUAAAGCCCUUGUCAGGUGGGGAAGAAACAUCAUCGUGCUAAUACCCGCGAUGAUUUUGACUGGUACCCACUUAAAGGAAAGCACCCGGYUUAAUUUUGCAGGCCGGUGGUUAAUUACCGGAA